CCUACGGGUGGCUGCAGUGGGGAAUAUUGCACAAUGGGGGAAACCCUGAUGCAGCGACGCCGCGUGAGUGAAGAAGGAUUUCGGGAUGUAAAGCUCUAUCAGCAGGGAAGAAAAUGACGGUACCUGAAUAAGAAGCCACGGCUAACUACGGGACAGCAGCCGCGGGAAUACGUAGGGGGCAAGCGUUAGGCGGAUUUACUGGGUGUACAGGGAGCGGAGACGGCAGCUCAAGUCUGGAGUGAAAUGCGGGGGCUUAACCCCGGAACUGCUUUGGAUACUGUCCAGCUAGAGUGCAGGAGAGGUAAGUGGAAUUCCUAGUGUAGCGGUGAAAUGCGUAGAUAUUAGGAGGAACACCAGUGGCGCAGGCGGCUUCCUGGACUGUAACUGACGUUCAGGCUCGAAAGCGUGGGGAGCAAACAGGAUUAGAUACCCCUGUAGUC
rnacentral:rRNA from 1 species